rnacentral:lncRNA from 1 species
ACAACCCCUUGUCUUAACCCAGACACUCAUUUCUGUUUAUUACACGUCUUUAGAUAAUAACUUAACUCUUUCAACUAAUUGGCAGUCAGAAAACUUUUGAAUCCACAUGUGACCUGUAAGCCCCCACUGGAGUUGACCCACCUUUCUGAACUGAACCAAUGUAUACCUUACAUGUAGUGAUUGAGGUCUUAUGUCUCCUUGAAACAUAUAAAACCAAGCUGUACCACAACCACCCCGGGCACAGGUUCUCAGGACCUCCUGGGGCUGUGUCAUUGGUCAUGGUCUCCACAUCUGGCUCAGAACAAAUCUCUUCAAAUAUUUUAUAGAGUUUGGCUUUUUCAUCAACAGCCCCACACUAUCACAUGGAUUCUUCUUCUUUUCUUCUGUCCAGCCAGAAGAUACCCAGCCACUCAAUGUGGUAGACCAACAUUUCCUCAUCCAGGUCUUAAUGUCCCCUAGGAAGACCUCUGGAAGGGUCUCCUGCCCCAUCCAGAUUAGGUACCCUCUUUUGGCUCCAAAGAAAACUCUCUACCUCCAACAUAUGCUAACAUUACACAAUUUUGUAAUAACCUGUUUACCUAUCUGUACUGCCAACUACAACAUAAGCCAGAAGAACCAAAAAACCAUGCUUAGUGCACUGUUAUGCUCCCAUUAGCCAGCACAGAACUAGUCACAUAGUAGACACUCAGUAAAUAUUUACCAAAUGAAUGUAUCUCAUCCAACUCCAUUUUCUAGUUGAAGUAAUGGUUUAGAGAUGAUAAGCCCCUUAUCCAUGACUACAUCAAAAAUAGUAGUUAAGCUGGGUUAGAACUCGCAACUCCUGCCUGUAAAUGUGGGCUCUUCUCCACUUUGCUACUCCUCUUUGUGCUGGAAGGUUAAGAAUAUCCAGAUGUGAUGAGGUUUAUUUUUUAGAGGUAGGUGAGUGUGUGUGUGUGUGUGUAUGUGUGUGUGUGUGUGUUUAUGCUCAGCCCUUUUGUAUUAAAAAAGAGAGGCACACUCAGGUUCCUGCAAGUAAUAGGAUUUUUGGGGGGAGUUUCCUUGUUUUCUUUUUAGACACACACGUUAAGGAUGAUAGAAAGCUCAUGUGACAAGAAUUGCCAUCUAGCCAGGCCCGAAGGAAACCUGACCAGGAACUAGGUUUUCUCCUUGUUCCUGAGCAGCAAAAUGUCACCAGUUCCCUGCCAUCCUGAGGACUCAGCUCUGCCCUAUUGCUUCUGUUCUUGUUGCUGCUAUCUACCAGUGACCCACCUUCUGUGCAUGCCUUCCUGAUGGCUACUGCUUAACAGGAAGAUGAGCUUGCACAUGCCUUCUCUUUGCAAAUUUUUAUCAUCUCUUAUUGCUACCCAACUGAUUUUCUCUUCUAUAUUUUCUAAUCCUAAUUUCUGACGACGCUACUCUGGUUGGCUCCUUUGGCUACAUUCUUUUCUGUUUGGGUAUGGUUUUUUUUUUUUUUAUGUCUGGCCACUCCAUAGGUUAGCCCAAGGGCUGGCUGCUUUUGCAGACAAUUAGCUAUGAUGUGGGAGGACAAAGGCAGGUCAUGUGGAAUAUAACAUGUUUUUUCCAUGGAGAUUGUAGGGGAGGCAUUUUUUUCUUUCCUUGUGAUUGAGAGUGAGGCAGAUAACAUCAUUGACCUGUCCAAUACAGCAAAAAACAAAAAAACACCUCAAACCACAGUUUUUGGAUAACAGUCCAAUGCAUUCUCUCAUGGCAAGGUAUAGUAGUAUCUUUAAAAGGCUCAAAUACUUUCAUUCCGAGCAUGUGUGGGUCCCAAUUUUCUUUUUCAGGUUAAGGGGCUGGGGAAAAACCAUGCUAGGGGUGGUGUAAAGAAAAUGGAAAGUAAAAUAACUCAGAUUGUAACAUUAUUUGACUUAGACAAUAACAAGAGAAUUUAAAUGGAGCUAGAUCUCAAAGUGAUUUCUAUGAAAACAGACAACUAAGUUUUAUUUUUCUUUCUUUUUUAAAAAAGAUUUUAAUCUAAUCUGAUAGAGUAGGAGAAAAUAACUCAAUGUUCUGAAAAUAAAUUUCCCAGAGGAGGCCAUUAAGGCAGCCCUUUUGUUUCCUGUCAUACUCUGAAUCAGCUACAAGGACAAACUCUAUUUGUUUGAGUACAUUAAUUUUGCUCAAUGGCCUUUCUAUAAAAUGAGCAUCAAAUUGAUGGGACUGGACCUCAGUAAAGAAGAAGUUCCAAUUUUCUCUGGAUGGAUUGUUCUGGAUGUGCAGUGGAAAAUUAUUAUUAACAGCAAUUCAUGUUUACUAUCCAGUGAGAACAAGAGAAAGAUGGAGUUUAGAAACACAGCUGUAUCUGACUAAGCACUGAGCACCAUAGGACAAAUUACUAGGGAAUGAUGAGCUGAUCUUUGUCUUCUGUGUGGCUAGUCUACUUGGGCCAUAUAUGGUAUGCUGGACCACAGAUUUUCUCUGACUGUGUCUUGGUUCAGUAAUUUCAGGGAAGCAAGAUAGGUUUUUAAUAUGAUCUAGUCAUUUGGGUUGUCUUGUUGCAGGUACCAUAUGGUGCUGAUGUGUCGGAUGCCUCCAUGUGUUGAUUUCAAUCAUUCAACUGGACACAUGGUGAGAGGCUGAACAGACAUGCUUCCUUCCCUCAUGGAGUUUAUAUUGCAAUUGAAUCUGGUUCCGAGACCUUCUGAUUCUGAUUCAGCCUUCUAAGUUCAAACCAAAGCAGAGCAUUUUCAACUUCUUUAAUGAGAAGCAUGUUCAGCCAGCAAAGAAGAAGAAGAAAAAUGGUUAUAGACAAGCAACCAACAGUAUCUGCCAUAGCUAUUUUAUAGCUGUUUAAACUUGGCUGGGGGUGAAAGAUGCCCUUCAGUGUCCCAAAUGAGAGAAGAGAAUUUUAAUUGGGAGUGGCCAAGGUUCACAAUUUCAGCCUGGAGGAAAGUAAAUUAAAGAGGGAAAUUUGGAUACACAAAGAGAUGCCAGGGAUUAACCUACCCAGAGGAAAGGCCACGUGAGGACACAGCAAGAAGGUGGCCGUCUGCAAGCCGAGAGAGGCCUCAGAAGAAGCCAAACCUGCUGAU